rnacentral:rRNA from 1 species
UACAGAGGGUGCGAGCGUUGUUCGGAAUUAUUGGGCGUAAAGCGCUUGUAGGCGGCCUGUCAAGUCGCGUGUGAAAUCCCCUGGCUUAACCAGGGAAGUGCGCGCGAAACUGAAGGGCUUGAGUGCCGGAGAGGGUCGCGGAAUUCCCGGUGUAGAGGUGAAAUUCGUAGAUAUCGGGAGGAACACCAGUGGCGAAGGCGGCGACCUGGACGGACACUGACGCUGAGGCGCGAAAGCCAGGGGAGCAAACGGG